rnacentral:rRNA from 1 species
CCUACGGGAGACAGCAGUGAGGAAUAUUGGUCAAUGGACGAGAGUCUGAACCAGCCAAGUAGCGUGAAGGAUGACUGCCCUAUGGGUUGUAAACUUCUUUUAUAUGGGAAUAAAAUGUUGCACGUGUGGGAUUUUGUAUGUACCAUAUGAAUAAGGAUCGGCUAACUCCGUGCCAGCAGCCGCGGUAAUACGGAGGAUCCGAGCGUUAUCCGGAUUUAUUGGGUUUAAAGGGAGCGUAGGUGGAUUGUUAAGUCAGUUGUGAAAGUUUGCGGCUCAACCGUAAAAUUGCAGUUGAAACUGGCAGUCUUGAGUACAGUAGAGGUGGGCGGAAUUCGUGGUGUAGCGGUGACAUGCUUAGAUAUCACGAAGAACUCCGAUUGCGAAGGCAGCUCACUGGACUGCAACUGACACUGAUGCUCGAAAGUGUGGGUAUCAAACAGGAUUAGAUACCCCUGUAGUC